UCAAACUUGGUCAUUUAGAGGAAGUAAAAGUCGUAACAAGGUUUCCGUAGGUGAACCUGCGGAAGGAUCAUUAUUGAAACUUCUUUGGAAAUAGUACUGUUGCUGGCCUUGUAAUGAGGUAUGUGCACGUCUAUUACCAAUUUAUUCAUCCACCUGUGCACUUUUUGUAGGAGUUCUUUGAAGUUAUUUUGUACUUGUGCAAUUUGGCUUUGAAAGGCUUCUAUGUCUUAUAAACCCAUUAGUAUGUCUCUGAAUGUUUUUUAUUGGGACUUGAUUGGCCCUUUAAACUUGUACAACUUUUAGCAACGGAUCUCUUGGCUCUCCCAUCGAUGAAGAACGCAGC
rnacentral:misc_RNA from 1 species